AGGAGAGUUUGAUCCUGGCUCAGGAUGAACGCUGGCGGCGUGCUUAACACAUGCAAGUCGAACGGAGUUUAAGAAGGAAGCUUGCUUUCAUUUUAAACUUAGUGGCGGACGGGUGAGUAACGCGUGAGGAACCUGCCCUUCAGUGGGGAACAACAACUAGAAAUGGUUGCUAAUACCGCAUAAUGUCGGAAAGCCGCAUGACAUUCCGACCAAAGGAUUUAUUCGCUGAAGGAUGGCCUCGCGUCCGAUUAGAUAGUUGGUGAGGUAACGGCCCACCAAGUCUACGAUCGGUAGCCGAACUGAGAGGUUGAUCGGCCACAUUGGGACUGAGACACGGCCCAGACUCCUACGGGAGGCAGCAGUGGGGAAUAUUGGGCAAUGGGCGAAAGCCUGACCCAGCAACGCCGCGUGAAGGAUGACGGUCUUCGGAUUGUAAACUUCUUUAAUUGGGGAAGAACAAAAUGACCUACCCAAAGAAUAAGUCACGGCUAACUACGUGCCAGCAGCCGCGGUAAUACGUAGGUGACAAGCGUUAUCCGGAUUUACUGGGCGUAAAGGGCGUGUAGGCGGUCUUGCAAGUCAGAAGUGAAAUUCCUGAGCUCAACUCGGGCGCUGCUUCUGAAACUGCAGGACUUGAGUGCUGGAGGGGAUAGCGGAAUUCCUAGUGGAGCGGUAAAAUGCGCAGAUAUUAGGAAGAACACCGGUGGCGAAGGCGGCUAUCUGGACAGUAACUGACGCUGAGGCGCGAAAGCGUGGGGAGCAAACAGGAUUAGAUACCCUGGUAGUCCCCU
rnacentral:rRNA from 1 species